UAUGAUUUUUUUUUUUUUUUUAAGUGACAUGAUUUUCAAGUAUUCCAAUUAAUUUUAUUAAGAAUGUUUUCCCACAAUUUUUGAAUACCAUAAUGUGGAAAAAAAUCCUCAUUAAUGUAAUAUGAAGAGAAAAAUAUAUAUUAUUUAAAAUGUAAAUAAUACAUAAUUGUAAUAUGAAUGAUAUCCAUUGUAGAGUAAUCCACAUUAGAGUAAUUCAAAUUUCACCUGGGGAGAUUCUCUUCUUUUGGGUUGAAAUAUGACCCAGACAUUUUUAUUUUAGCUGUGUAACUCUUGCUUGUGUGAAAUGUGCUAUAAAUAAAAAAAAUUAUAAAUUAAAUUCAUGAUAAAAAGCAUUCAGGAUUUUAAAGAUAUAAAUAAUGUAAUGGAAAGAA